rnacentral:rRNA from 1 species
GACGAACGCUGGCGGCGUGCCUAAUACAUGCAAGUAGAACGCUGAAGGAGGAGCUUGCUUCUCUGGAUGAGUUGCGAACGGGUGAGUAACGCGUAGGUAACCUGCCUGGUAGCGGGGGAUAACUAUUGGAAACGAUAGCUAAUACCGCAUAAGAGUAGAUGUCGCAUGACAUUUGCUUAAAAGGUGCAAUUGCAUCACUACCAGAUGGACCUGCGUUGUAUUAGCUAGUUGGUGAGGUAACGGCUCACCAAGGCAACGAUACAUAGCCGACCUGAGAGGGUGAUCGGCCACACUGGGACUGAGACACGGCCCAGACUCCUACGGGAGGCAGCAGUAGGGAAUCUUCGGCAAUGGACGGAAGUCUGAACGAGCAACGCCGCGUGAGUGAAGAAGGUUUUCGGAUCGUAAAGCCCUGUUGUAAGAGAAGAACGAGUGUGAGAGUGGAAAGUUCACACUGUGACGGUAACUUACCAGAAAGGGACGGCUAACUACGUG